AUUGAACGCUGGCGGCAUGCUUUACACAUGCAAGUCGAGCGGCAGCGCGGGGCAACCUGGCGGCGAGCGGCGAACGGGUGAGUAAUGUAUCGGAACGUGUCCUGUCGUGGGGGAUAGCCCGGUGAAAACCGGAUUAAUACCGCAUACGAUCGAGAGAUGAAAGUGGGGGACCGCAAGGCCUCAUGCGAUAGGAGCGGCCGAUAUCUGAUUAGCUAGUUGGUGGGGUAAAGGCCCACCAAGGCUUCGAUCAGUAGCUGGUCUGAGAGGAUGAUCAGCCACACUGGGACUGAGACACGGCCCAGACUCCUACGGGAGGCAGCAGUGGGGAAUUUUGGACAAUGGGGGCAACCCUGAUCCAGCCAUUCCGCGUGAGUGAAGAAGGCCUUCGGGUUGUAAAGCUCUUCUGUCCGGGAAGAAACGGUUUCACCUAAUACGUGAGACUACUGGCGGUACCGGAAGAAUAAGGACCGGCUAACUACGUGCCAGCAGCCGCAGUAA
rnacentral:rRNA from 1 species